rnacentral:rRNA from 1 species
CAGAACGAACGCUGGCGGCGCGUCUUAAGCAUGCAAGUCGAACGGCAAGCUACCUCGGGUAGCCUAGAGUGGCGGACUGGUGAGUAACACGUGGGUGACAUGCCUUCAGGACUGGAAUAGCCUGCAGAAAUGCAGGGUAAUGCCGGAUACGGUGCAGGACGUUAGGGGUCCUGCAAGAAAGGAGCAUUUGCUCCGCCGGGAGAUUGGCCCGCGGCCCAUUAGCUAGUUGGUGAGGUAAAGGCCCACCAAGGCAAUGAUGGGUAUCCGGCCUGAGAGGGUGAUCGGACACAUUGGGACUGAGAUACGGCCCAGACUCCUACGGGAGGCAGCAGCUAAGAAUAUUCCGCAAUGGAGGAAACUCCGACGGAGCGACGCCGCGUGGAAUGAUUGAAGGCCGAAAGGUUGUAAAAUCCUUUUGAACCGGAAGAAUAAGCGCAGGAGGGAAUGCCUGCGUGGUGACGGUACGGUUCGAAUAAGCAACGGCUAAUUACGUGCCAGCCGCGGC